rnacentral:misc_RNA from 1 species
AUGAAAAAGAUCCUGGCGUUAGCUGCGCUGACUACCGUUGUAUUCUCUGCGUCCGCCUUCGCUGGCCCUGUGCCUCCCAGUACUGCCCUCAGGGAGCUCAUUGAGGAGCUGGUCAACAUCACCCAGAACCAGAAGGCUCCGCUCUGCAAUGGCAGCAUGGUAUGGAGCAUCAACCUGACAGCUGGCAUGUACUGUGCAGCCCUGGAAUCCCUGAUCAACGUGUCAGGCUGCAGUGCCAUCGAGAAGACCCAGAGGAUGCUGAGCGGAUUCUGCCCGCACAAGGUCUCAGCUGGGCAGUUUUCCAGCUUGCAUGUCCGAGACACCAAAAUCGAGGUGGCCCAGUUUGUAAAGGACCUGCUCUUACAUUUAAAGAAACUUUUUCGCGAGGGACGGUUCAACUGAAACUUCGAAAGCAUCAUUAUUUG